GCUGUGAUGAAUUUGAAUCCAUUGAUCACAUGACAUGAUAAUAUAUUUGUCCUCUAAGAAGUUCUGAGCUU